rnacentral:rRNA from 1 species
GACGAACGCUGGCGGCGUGCUUAACACAUGCAAGUCGAACGGGCCCGCCCCUGUUUUUGGGGGUGGGUUGAGUGGCGAACGGGUGAGUAUCACGUGAGUAACCUGCCCCCUGCUCCUGGAUAACUGCUUGAAAGGGCGGCUAAUACGGGGUGUGCCGGCUGGUCCGCAUGGGCCUGGUCGGGAUAGUUUCAUCUUCGGGUGGUUCGGUGGGGGAUGGGCUCGCGGCCUAUCAGCUUGUUGGGGGGGGGAUGGCCCACCAAGGCGGUGACGGGGAGCCGGCCUGAGAGGGUGGGCGGCCACACUGGGACUGAGACACGGCCCAGACUCCUGCGGGAGGCAGCAGUGGGGGGUAUUGCACAAUGGGCGGAAGCCUGAUGCAGCGACGUCGCGUGAGGGAUGGAGGCCGUCGGGUUGUGAACCUCUUUCUCCGGUGGUGAAGGCCCUGUCCGUUGCGGCGGGGUUGACGGUAGCCGGGUAUGAAGCGCCGGCUAACUACGUG